AGAGUUUGAUCCUGGCUCAGAAUCAACGCUGGCGGCGUGCCUAACACAUGCAAGUCGAACGAGAAAGUGGAGCGAUCCAUGAGUAAAGUGGCGACCGGGUGAGUAACACGUGACUAACCUACCCUCGAGUGGGGAAUAACCUCGGGAAACCGGGGCUAAUACCGCAUAAUGUCUUCGGAUCAAAGGAGCAAUCCGCUGGAGGAGGGGGUCGCGGCCGAUUAGCUAGUUGGCGGGGUAACGGCCCACCAAGGCCAUGAUCGGUAGCCGGCCUGAGAGGGCGCACGGCCACACUGGAACUGAAACACGGUCCAGACUCCUACGGGAGGCAGCAGUGGGGAAUUUUGCGCAAUGGGGGAAACCCUGACGCAGCAACGCCGCGUGGAGGAUGAAGCCCCUUGGGGUGUAAACUCCUUUCGAUCGGGACGAUUAUGACGGUACCGGAUGAAGAAGCACCGGCUAACUCUGUGCCAGCAGCCGCGGUAAUACAGAGGGUGCAAGCGUUGUUCGGAAUUAUUGGGCGUAAAGGGCGCGUAGGCGGUGCGGUAAGUCUGUUGUGAAAUCUCCGGGCUCAACUCGGAGCUUGCAACGGAAACUGCCGUGCUCGAGUGU
rnacentral:rRNA from 1 species